GAAAUGCGAUAAGUAAUGUGAAUUGCAGAAUUCAGUGAAUCAUCGAAUCUUUGAACGCACCUUGCGCUCCUUGGUAUUCCGAGGAGCAUGCCUGUUUGAGUGUCAUGGAAUUCUCAACUCUAUUUGCUUUUGUGAAUAGAGCUUGGAUUUGGAGGUUUAUUGCUGGUACUUGUGAUCGGCCCCUCUUGAAUGCAUUAGCUCGAACCUUUGCGGAUCAGCUAUCGGUGUGAUAAUUGUCUACGCCGUUGCAGUGAAGCAUAUCAAUGGGCUCGGCUUCCAAUCGUCCUUUACUGGACAAUGACUUUGACCUUUGACCUCAAAUCAGGUAGGAUUACCCGCUGAACUUAAGC
rnacentral:misc_RNA from 1 species